GAUAAGCAUAUCAAUAAGCGGAGGAAAAAGAAACCAACCGGGAUUGCCUCAGUAACGGCGAGUGAAGCGGCAAGAGCUCAAAUUUGAAAGCUGGCUCCUUCGGAGUCCGCAUUGUAAUUUGCAGAGGAUGCUUUGGGUGCGGCCCCCGUCUAAGUGCCCUGGAACGGGCCGUCAGAGAGGGUGAGAAUCCCGUCUUGGGCGGGGUGUCCGUGCCCGUGUAAAGCUCCUUCGACGAGUCGAGUUGUUUGGGAAUGCAGCUCUAAAUGGGUGGUAAAUUUCAUCUAAAGCUAAAUACUGGCCGGAGACCGAUAGCGCACAAGUAGAGUGAUCGAAAGAUGAAAAGCACUUUGAAAAGAGAGUUAAACAGCACGUGAAAUUGUUGAAAGGGAAGCGCUUGCGACCAGACUCGCCCGCGGGGUUCAGCCGGCAUUCGUGCCGGUGUACUUCCCCGUGGGCGGGCCAGCGUCGGUUUGGGCGGCCGGUCAAAGGCCCCUGGAAUGUAGUGCCCUCCGGGGCACCUUAUAGCCAGGGGUGCAAUGCGGCCAGCCUGGACCGAGGAACGCGCUUCGGCACGGACGCUGGCAUAAUGGUCGUAAACGACCCGUCUUGAAACACGGACCAAGGAGUCUAACAUCUACGCGAGUGUUCGGGUGUCAAACCCGUGCGCGCAGUGAAAGCGAACGGAGGUGGGAGCCCCCUUGCGGGGCGCACCAUCGACCGAUCCUGAUGUCUUCGGAUGGAUUUGAGUAAGAGCGUAGCUGUGGGGACCCGAAAGAUGGUGAACUAUGCCUGAAUAGGGCGAAGCCAGAGGAAACUCUGGUGGAGGCUCGCAGCGGUUCUGACGUGCAAAUCGAUCGUCAAAUUUGGGUAUAGGGGCGAAAGACUAAUCGAACCAUCUAGUAGCUGGGUUCCUGCCGAAGU
rnacentral:rRNA from 1 species